rnacentral:rRNA from 1 species
GAUGAACGCUGGCGGCGUGCCUAAUACAUGCAAGUCGAGCGAACGGACGAGAAGCUUGCUUCUCUGAUGUUAGCGGCGGACGGGUGAGUAACACGUGGAUAACCUACCUAUAAGACUGGGAUAACUUCGGGAAACCGGAGCUAAUACCGGAUGAUAUUUUGAACCGCAUGGUUCAAAAGUGAAAGACGGUCUUGCUGUCACUUAUAGAUGGAUCCGCGCUGCAUUAGCUAGUUGGUAAGGUAAUGGCUUACCAAGGCAACGAUGCAUAGCCGACCUGAGAGGGUGAUCGGCCACACUGGAACUGAGACACGGUCCAGACUCCUACGGGAGGCAGCAGUAGGGAAUCUUCCGCAAUGGGCGAAAGCCUGACGGAGCAACGCCGCGUGAGUGAUGAAGGUCUUCGGAUCGUAAAACUCUGUUAUUAGGGAAGAACAUAUGUGUAAGUAACUGUGCACAUCUUGACGGUACCUAAUCAGAAAGCCACGGUUAACUACGUG